AAAUUGAAGAGUUUGAUCAUGGCUCAGAUUGAACGCUGGCGGCAGGCCUAACACAUGCAAGUCGAGCGGUAGCACAGAGAGCUUGCUCUCGGGUGACGAGCGGCGGACGGGUGAGUAAUGUCUGGGAAACUGCCUGAUGGAGGGGGAUAACUACUGGAAACGGUAGCUAAUACCGCAUAAUGUCGCAAGACCAAAGUGGGGGACCUUCGGGCCUCAUGCCAUCAGAUGUGCCCAGAUGGGAUUAGCUAGUAGGUGGGGUAACGGCUCACCUAGGCGACGAUCCCUAGCUGGUCUGAGAGGAUGACCAGCCACACUGGAACUGAGACACGGUCCAGACUCCUACGGGAGGCAGCAGUGGGGAAUAUUGCACAAUGGGCGCAAGCCUGAUGCAGCCAUGCCGCGUGUGUGAAGAAGGCCUUCGGGUUGUAAAGCACUUUCAGCGGGGAGGAAGGCGUUAAGGUUAAUAACCUUGGCGAUUGACGUUACCCGCAGAAGAAGCACCGGCUAACUCCGUGCCAGCAGCCGCGGUAAUACGGAGGGUGCAAGCGUUAAUCGGAAUUACUGGGCGUAAAGCGCACGCAGGCGGUCUGUCAAGUCGGAUGUGAAAUCCCCGGGCUCAACCUGGGAACUGCAUUCGAAACUGGCAGGCUAGAGUCUUGUAGAGGGGGGUAGAAUUCCAGGUGUAGCGGUGAAAUGCGUAGAGAUCUGGAGGAAUACCGGUGGCGAAGGCGGCCCCCUGGACAAAGACUGACGCUCAGGUGCGAAAGCGUGGGGAGCAAACAGGAUUAGAUACCCUGGUAGUCCACGCCGUAAACGAUGUCGAUUUGGAGGUUGUGCCCUUGAGGCGUGGCUUCCGGAGCUAACGCGUUAAAUCGACCGCCUGGGGAGUACGGCCGCAAGGUUAAAACUCAAAUGAAUUGACGGGGGCCCGCACAAGCGGUGGAGCAUGUGGUUUAAUUCGAUGCAACGCGAAGAACCUUACCUGGUCUUGACAUCCACAGAACUUAGCAAAGAUGCUUUGGUGCCUUCGGGAACUGUGAGACAGGUGCUGCAUGGCUGUCGUCAGCUCGUGUUGUGAAAUGUUGGGUUAAGUCCCGCAACGAGCGCAACCCUUAUCCUUUGUUGCCAGCGGUCCGGCCGGGAACUCAAAGGAGACUGCCAGUGAUAAACUGGAGGAAGGUGGGGAUGACGUCAAGUCAUCAUGGCCCUUACGACCAGGGCUACACACGUGCUACAAUGGCAUAUACAAAGAGAAGCGACCUCGCGAGAGCAAGCGGACCUCAUAAAGUAUGUCGUAGUCCGGAUUGGAGUCUGCAACUCGACUCCAUGAAGUCGGAAUCGCUAGUAAUCGUAGAUCAGAAUGCUACGGUGAAUACGUUCCCGGGCCUUGUACACACCGCCCGUCACACCAUGGGAGUGGGUUGCAAAAGAAGUAGGUAGCUUAACCUUCGGGAGGGCGCUUACCACUUUGUGAUUCAUGACUGGGGUGAAGUCGUAACAAGGUAACCGUAGGGGAACCUGCGGUUGGAUCACCUCCUUACCUUAAAGAA
rnacentral:rRNA from 1 species